CCUACGGGUGGCUGCAGUCGAGAAUAAUUCACAAUGGGGGAAACCCUGAUGGUGCGACGCCGCGUGGGGGAAUGAAGGUCUUCGGAUUGUAAACCCCUGUCAUGUGGGAGCAAAUUAAAAAGAUAGUACCACAAGAGGCAGAGACGGCUAACUCUGUGCCAGCAGCCGCGGUAAUACAGAGGUCUCAAGCGUUGUUCGGAAUCACUGGGUGUAAAGCGUGCGUCGGCUGUUUCGGAAGGCGUGUGUGAAAGGCGCGGGCUAAACCCGCGGAUGGCACAUGAUACGGGUAGACAAGAGUAAAGAAGGGGGAACCGGAAGUCUCGGGGGAGCAGGGAAAGGCGGAGUA
rnacentral:rRNA from 1 species